ACACAGGACUGAGUCCUAGGCCACCAUGGACUCUCUGUGUGGCCUUGGCUGUAGCGAACGAGUUCAAAUGGCAGCCCUAAAGAAGAGGUCUUCUUUUGGUGGAAACCCUCAAAUUCAUUCCAGGCAGUUCCCUGGCCACACCAACAGUAAACCCCUCUCUCUGCCCCCCGCUGAAACCUCCAGGCACACAGAGCCCCAAGAGCUUCCAAAACACUCCAGACUCCGCAGCAAGAGCAGCUUUUUCUUUGGUGUGCUCCCCCCCGACUGCCCCCCCAGGACUCCCUCCACUCUGACAGCCCAGGGGUCCUGGCGUCGUCCUUCCCUCAAGCUGAGCCCUGGUCCCCAGCCGGCAGGGAGGUAGGUUUGUCUUCACAGCCAUCGGCUGCUCUCCUUGUCCUCCCAGCCAGCUGGCCAAUCAAGGCAUGGCGCCAGCCUUUGGUUACUUGGAGGAAAACAGCAUAGAAGACAUGGGGUGAGUGCGGAGGGAGUAGGGGAGCUUGACACGGGCCAUGUUUAGGAGAUAAUUUUUUUCUUGUUGUUUGUUUUUUAGGACCGCACCCAUGGCAUGUGGAAGUUCCCAGGCUAGAGGUCAAAUCGGAGCUACAGCUGCCAGGCUGCCCCACAGCCACUGCAACGCCAGAUCUGAGCUGUGUCUGUGACCUACACCACAGCUCCCAGCAACACCAGAUGCCCAACCCACUGAGCGAGGCCAGGGAUCGACCCUGCAUCCUCAUGGAUACUAGUCAUAUUUGUUUCCACGGCACCACCAUGGGAACCCCAAGAGGAACAAUUUUCUUUUUCGGCUUUUGAGGGCCGCACCCAUGACAUAUGGAAGUGCCCAGGCUAGGGGUUGAAUGGGAGCUACAGUUGCUGGCCUACACCACAGCUGCAGCAACACGACAUGGGAUCUGAGCUGCACCUGGGACCUACACCACAGGUCACUGCAACACCAGAUCCCCAACCCCCUGAGCAAGGCCAGGGAUUGAACCCUCAUCCUCAUGGGUACUAGCCAGACUCGUUGCCUCUGAGCCACGACAGGAACUCCAAGGGGGACAAUUUGUAAAGGGAGCAUGGAACUAUGCUGGUCAUUAGAACCCUGUGGGAGGCAACCGGUGUCAAAGAGCCCUGCCGGCAAAUGACUCUGUCGACCACUGAAUCUGGGAGCUGAGGAAAGGGGGUUAAAAGACCAUUUAUUUGUGCUCAACGCCCCUCCAGCAGAAGGGGUAGGUCCUCCCUCAGCUGGUCUGGCUCCCACCUUUGCUUCCAUGCGUGCUGUCCUCUAUCUCCCGGCUCUGCCUCUGGGAGGUGCCAGUGGGUGGUCCCGGGCCUGGCCUCUCACACUCGCAGUUCACCUAGUGUAGGGAUGGCUUAUCCCGGGAGUUACUUCUCAACAGUAAGGGUCCCUUUAUCCUCAAUAUCCUUACACUCCCGAGUCCCCUAAUUAGGAACCAGGCCAUUUAGCCCAUUCGGAUGGGGCUCAGACUCUGUGCUUUGAAUCAUCGUUCACAUGAGGUGCUAUGAGUGUUCCUUCAGCUUUAAGGCUGUUGCAGAGUCCAGGAUCCUGAAAAGAGCAUGGCUUUUGUGUCCGGAAGACCUGGGUUUGAAUCUGAUCCCUUGAACUCCCUAGCUGUGUGACUUUGGGCAAGUCACUUAACCUCUCUGAGCCUCUAGUGCAUCCUCUGGAAUGUGGAGAUUUGUAGAACCAUCCUGAAGGGUCAGCAUCCUCGUGGACCCAGUCACUUUCCCGGUGCAUCCUGGCAUUCAGGAAGUGCUGGUCUCCUCCUCCCGCUCCUCUACCUGGGCAUGGAGGGGAGAGGGACCCCCAGGGUUGCAUGAUGAGUCAGCCUGGCUGGCUGGCUGGCUCUGGGACACGGGCUGCCUGGCAGAGCACAGCUGAGGGUGGACUUUGCCAGCCACGCUUCUGGCAGGGUUUCUGCAGCUGGAGAGGCCCUGGUCCCAGAAGGCAAAGGGGUCUCGGAGUCUCUAUCCCACUGUGGGGAGCAGCCCAACUCAGGGAGCCCUGGGGUGGAGGUGUGGGUGGGGGUGAGCAUUGCAGUGGAGGCUGCCACCCUUCUGAGCCAGCUGUCAUUAGUUGUUCUGGCUCAUAAUUGGGCUGUAACCACCCUUUGGGACCAUGAUUAUCUGUGAUUAGCCUCUUCGUGCCUGGGAAUGCUGAUCCUACACUACCCGCUCCUCCGCUGCCCCGGCCCUUCGGGGGUAACCUUCCAGAAGCAAUCAAACAAGAGCUUCUUGCUCAGAGAGAUCCACACAGCAAGCUCCUUCCUGCACUUUGCUAUGCCCAUGCCAGCACGACACCAGGAAAUAGAAUUGCUGAAUUGCUCUGUUUCUGAGCGGCGGGUGCCUGCUUCCUUCCUCUCUGGCCAGUGAGAAAUGCAGGCAUAUAAAAAGGAAAAUCCGGGGAGUUCCCAUCAUGGCUCAGCAGUUAAUGAACACGACUAAUAUCCAUGAGGUUGUGGGUUCGAUCCUUGGCCUUUCUCAGUGGGCUAGGGAUCCAGCAUUGCCAUGAGCUGUGAUGUAGGUCACAGACGCAGCUCAAAUCCCAUGUUGCUGUGGCUGUGGCUGUGGCACAGGCCGGCAGCGGCAGCUCCCAUUCUACCCCUAGCCUGGGAAAUUCCAUAUGUUGUGGGUGCAGCCCUAAAAGGACAAAAAAAAAAAAAAAAAA
ensembl:lncRNA